rnacentral:rRNA from 1 species
CGGAACGUACCCAAGAGUGGGGGAUAACGUAGCGAAAGUUACGCUAAUACCGCAUACGAUCUAAGGAUGAAAGCAGGGGAUCGCAAGACCUUGUGCUCUUGGAGCGGCCGAUAUCUGAUUAGCUAGUUGGUGGGGUAAAGGCCCACCAAGGCAACGAUCAGUAGCUGGUCUGAGAGGACGACCAGCCACACUGGAACUGAGACACGGUCCAGACUCCUACGGGAGGCAGCAGUGGGGAAUUUUGGACAAUGGGGGCAACCCUGAUCCAGCAAUGCCGCGUGAGUGAAGAAGGCCCUCGGGUUGUAAAGCUCUUUUGUCAGGGAAGAAAAGGCUGUGGCUAAUAUCCGCGGCUCAUGACGGUACCUGAAGAAUAAGCACCGGCUAACUACGUGCCAGCAGCCGCGGUAAUACGUAGGGUGCAAGCGUUAAUCGGAAUUACUGGGCGUAAAGCGUGCGCAGGCGGUUUUGUAAGACUGUCGUGAAAUCCCCGGGCUCAACCUGGGAAUGGCGAUGGUGACUGCAAGGCUAGAGUUUGGCAGAGGGGGGUAGAAUUCCACGUGUAGCAGUGAAAUGCGUAGAUAUGUGGAGGAACACCGAUGGCGAAGGCAGCCCCCUGGGUCAAAACUGACGCUC